rnacentral:lncRNA from 1 species
UCCAGGCUCCAGAGAUAGGACGGUUAAAGGAGAACUGAUGCUGAAGGCCUGUCGACGUGCCUGGCCUCUUGAAAGAGCAGCGAAAACAUGCAAUGCUGGCUGACAUCUCUCUCUGCCUUCUCUUGCUAACCCCUCACCCCUUUGCAGAACGUUCCCCAAUAAGUCUCUGUGUGCACAUCUCAAGAGUCUUGCAAUCCACGCCUCCCCAUUGGUAGGAGAGCUGAUUGAAGGAGGUUCUGAAGGUCUGGAAUACAGUCACUGCUGUCCUAGGACUAUUCACAACAGCCCCGUGUUAUGGAACCAGUCUAAGUGAAUCAAUAAAGAAAAUGUCCUAUGGUUACUCAAUGGGCUUGGGAGAUGUCUCCGUGGUUAAGGCACUUCCAGGUGAAGGGUUUGGAUUGGAGCUCAGUCCAUUCACAGCUUGGACCUCAGCUCACCUCACCUUACAGGAAGCUAUUCAUAGUGGCUCCAAGUUGAAGUGGCCAUGAGGAAGGCAUUUCCCUUCAUCCAGAGCCAGUUCCUGUAGCAAGCCCUCAGCUGCCAACAUUGCCAGAAGCCGAGAACUGAGAACUUCAAUAAAUAUUAAAUACGCCUACCAAAAUGGGAUUGGACGGAAAGGCCCAGAAGCCAGGGCCACGAGGGGACAGCCUACAGCUAAUGACAGAAAGCUGAGCCACCACAUACCUUGAAGCCAGGCUUACUGUAUGGUGGAUGUUGACCAGUUUUUAGACCCACAGACACCAUGUAUGGCAAGUACUGUGGGGACGGCCCCUGAGAGCGGAAGAACAGCAUUGCCCACAGAGGGCAAUUCCUUGUUCCGAAUAGUCUGACUCCAGCCUCUUACCUACACCACUCAUAUAACUGAAGUUAUGUGGCUCUGAGAGCCGAGUCAGAGAACAAGAGAACAUUCUAGGAGGACAAGCUAGAACAAGCGAAAAGGCUCCAGGGCUUCAGUCAGGACUCUCAAAUAAAGAGGUCAAGUUAGCUGCCCUAUCCAACUUCAUGAAGAUGACCAGGCAACAAAAACCACUCACAGCUGGGCAGUGGUGGCACACACCUUUAAUCCCAGCACUGGGGAGGCAGAGGCAGGCAUCUCUGUGAGUUUGAGGCCAGCCUGGUCUACAAAGUGAGUUCCAGGAUGGCAGGACUACACACACACACACAUACACACACACACACACACACACACACACACACACACACACCUCACAGUCCUAUAGUUUUUGAUGAGGUGUUGAACAACUCAUUCAAAAUAUCAGUCAGCGAUAGCGUUCACAUACUUGAAUAAAAAGUUAGCAUAAC